GACGAACGCUGGCGGCGUGCCUAAUACAUGCAAGUCGAACGCAGUGGGGCCGGUUGAGUAACACGUGGGUAACCUCCCAUCAGAGGGGAUAACACGUGGAAACAGGUGCUAAACCGAUACUGAUGGAUGGACCCGCGGUGCAUUAGCUAGUUGGUGCGGUAACGGCUCACCAAGGCAACGAUGCCUACCCGAUGUGAGAGGGUGAUCGGCCAAACUGGAACUGAGACACGGCCCAGACUCCUACGGGAGGCAGAAGUGGGGAAUCUUCGGCAAUGGACGAAAGUCUGACCGAGCAACGCCGCGUGGGUGAAGAAGGUUUUCGGAUCGUAAAACUCUGUUGUUAGAGAAGCGGUAUCUAACCAGAAAGCCACGGCUAACUACGUGCCAGCAGCCGCGGUAAUUC
rnacentral:rRNA from 1 species